GUUCCCAUACAAUCACUGAAGUUAAGCAAUGUCAAGCCUGGUCAGUACCAAAAUGGAUGACCCCUUGGGAAUACCAGGUGCUGUAAG